AGAGGGAGCCUGAGAAACGGCUACCACAUCCAAGGAAGGCAGCAGGCGCGUAAAUUACCCAAUCCUAACAUAGGGAGGUAGUGACAAGAAAUAACAAUGUUGAAUUUUAUUAUUUAACAGUUGUACUGAGUGAAAUUUAAAUAACUCAACAAAUCAAUUGGAGGGCAAGUCUGAUGCCAGCAGCCGCGGUAACUUCAGCUCCAAUAGCGUAUAUUAACAUUGUUGCAUUUAAAAAGCUCGUAGUUGAAUUUAUAUCAUUUAUAUAAUAGAUCAUUUAAUUUAUGUAUUUAUUAUAUUAAAAAUGGAAUUUAAAUAUUUUAUGUAUAUAAUGAUAUAAUAUUAAUUUAUUGUAUUAUUUUUAAUAUACAUUAUUUUACUGUGAGAAAAUUAGAGUGUUUAAAGCAUGCAUUAUUUUUGCUUGAAUACAUUAGCAUGGAAUAAUAAUAUUAGAUUUUUAUAUUAUUUUAUUGGUUUUAUUAUAAAAUUAGAUUAAUAGGGACAAUGGGGGUAUUAUAUUCAUAGUCAGAGGUGAAUUCUGGGAUUUAUGAAAGAUAACAACAAUGCGAAGCAUUACCAAGGAUGUUUUAUUAAUCAGAACGAAGUUAGGGAUCAAAGAGGCUUAGAUACCCUCGUAGUCUUAACUAUAAACUAUAACACCUAGAGAUUGGUAUUGCUAUCUAAUUUUUAUAUGAAGUAUAUCAGAAUCUAAUGGGAAACCAAAGGUUUUGGCUUAUGGGGGGAGUACGGUCGCAAGGCUGAAACUUAAAGGAAUUGACGGAAGGGCACACCAGAUAUGGGUUAUGCGGCUUAAUUUGACUCAACACGGGGAAACUUACCAGGUCCAGACACAAUAAGGAUUGACAGAUUGAAGCUCUUUCUUGAUUUUGUGGGUGGUGGUGCAUGGCCGUUCUUAGUUGGUGGAGUGAUUUGUCUGGUUAAUUCCGAUAACGAACGAGACCUCCAUUUAUUAAAUAAUAUUAUAAUAUAUGUAUUAUUAAUAUUUCUUAAAAAGACAUUAUAUAUUUUUAUUAUAAGGAAGUUGGAGGCAAUAACAGGUCUGUGAUGCCCUUAGAUGUUCUGGGCCGCACGUGUGACACAAUGAUAUAUACAAUAAGUUAUAAUUUAUUAAUAUACCUAAAUUGAAAAAUUAUGGUAAUCUUUAAUAUAUAUCGUGUUUGGGAUUGAUGCUUGUAAUUAUUCAUCAUGAACGAGGAACACCUAGUAAGUGCAAAUCAUCAGUUUACGCUGAAUACGUCCCUGCCC
rnacentral:rRNA from 1 species